GCAUUAGUAGCUCAAUGCCAGAGCGUCGGUCUUGUAAAUCGGCGGCCGGAGGUUUGAAUCCUCCCUAUUGCU
rnacentral:tRNA from 1 species